GUGGCGCGCCAGCCGCUGUAGCCGAUAGUAAACAACAUGGCGACAGGCUUUGCAGGUCACGUAGCAAAUUCUGGAAUAAAGCAGCGCUACAUCCCAGACGAAGAUCCUGAAUAUGAUCCUUCGCUGCCGUAUGGAGGGAAGGUGUUUCUAGCGAGGAAAAAGAAGCCAGAUCCAUUUCACAUUCGUGCGUUUGAGGCGUUUGCCAUUUUUGCAACUGUGGCAUUUGCAAUCUACGCUUACUUCUACUUUGAUCACCUGCAUUUUCAUGUCACACAUGCAUACGCCCACCUGGGGUACCCCUCAGCACAACAUCAAGUUGGACAAAGAUACCUGCAUGGCAAGGGUGUGGACAAAGACCAUGAGAAGUCCAUGGAGUGGUUUCGGAAGGCUGCCGAACAAGGCCACGCUCAUGCCUCAUACAACCUGGCAGUGGGUCAUUUGAAGGGGAUCAAAACAGACCUAAAACCAGGUGAAGCCCACAAGUUGAUCCAUCAUGCAGCAUCGAAAGGGGUGAAGGAAGCUCACAAGGUUCUCAACAAUGUCUGCACACGUGGUGGAUGUACCAACUAGAUUUCUGAUGGCUUGCUGCAACUAAAUUCCUUGGAGAGCACAGUUUACUGAAAAUGAAUCUUUGCUUAGGCACCCAAAAUACUAAAGAUAGUUGUCCGUCCAUAAAAACUUUGUUGCUAUCGUUUUCUCACAGUUAUGUAGCUGAUCUGGUUGUUUUUCAUGGUUUUUAGUGAUUAGUUUUAUAAUAAUUAUGAAGUAUUGAAACACUUUAUGUUGUUUCUUAGUAGAUAAUAUCAAAAUCAUGAACACUGACUUUGAAAAUUUCUAUUCAUUGAGAAUUCUUAGGAGGUGCGUUAUUCUCGUUAUUUUUUUUUAUCCCCGCCGAAAACAAAAUCUGAGGGGAUAUAGUAAUUGGUCCUGUCCGUCUGUCCGUCUGACUGAAACUUUGUCCAGAGCAUAACUCCAAAUCUAUUCAAUGGAUUUACUUUAAACUUAGAAUAUAAACAGAUGGCAACUAGGAGAAGUGCAGUGACCAAGAGCCAUAACUCUAUCUACCUUAGUUUUUGAAUUAUCUCCCCUGUUAUAUAACUUUAUAAAGUAAAUUUUUGUCCGGAGCAUAACUCUAAAUAUACUAAAGGGAUUUAUUUGAAACUUGAAAUAUAAACAGAUGGCAACUAGGAGAAGUGCAGUGACCAAGAACCACAACUCUAUCUACCUUAGUUUUUGAAUUAUCUCCCCUUUUAUAUAAUUUUAAAGUAAUUUUUUGUCCGGAGCAUAACUCUUAAUCUACAGAAGGGAUUUACUUGAAACUUGAAAUAUAAACAGAUGGCAAGUAGGAAAAGUGCAGUGACUAAGAACCCUUUCAUAUAAUUUUAAAGUAAAUUUUUGUCCAGGGCAUAACUCUAAAUCUUAUGAAGGGAUUUACUUGAAACUUAAACAGAUGGCAAGUAGGAGAAGUGCAGUGACAAAGAACCAUAACUAUAUCUACCUUAGUGUUUGGAUUAUAUCCCUUAAUUUAAUUCCAAAGUAAACUUUUGUCCGGAGCAUAAUGAAUUAUCUUCCUUUAUUUGUUUUUACAAAUAUUAUUCUACUCUCUAAAACAAAUGUUGUCAUACGAGCAAACACAUUUCGGCGGGGAUUUGGCACUACUGUGACAAGCUCUUGUUUUAAUUAUUGUGAGUUAAGUUUUCCUUUGAAACCUUAUUGUUACUGUGACUUAAUGUUUAUGAAAUUUGUCAACAUUGUGUUUGCAAUGUAUUUAAUUAGUCUCCUACUUUUGUUGAACCAUGCUUUGGGAGAAACAGGCUUAACUGAUGUGGCAGAAGUAUCGGACCUGAUUGGGAUGACACUUCCCACUUUUAUGAUAUUUUUUGGUUAAAGGAGAUCCCUUCUAAACAAGCAUCCAUUCUAGUGGAAAGUGUUGUCUCUGAUUAGUCUGAAUCUGGGACAUGGUUGUAAAGGUUUACAGUCAAAACAGCCCCAAGUCAAAACGGUCCCUAGUCAAAAUGACCGAAAACCAAAGCAAAGUGGGGCCGUUUUGACUAUUAUCGAAUAGGGGCCGUUUUGACUGGGGCCGAUUUGACUAGCUCCCUGGGACAUCACUUUAUGCACAUGUGUUAAGCCCAGUUUUCUGAAAGCACCAUUAAAGGGGCCUUUUCACAGAUUUUGGCAUUUUUUUAAAUUAUUCAUUAAAUGCGUUAUAUUGAUAAAUGUAACCAUUGGAUCAUAAAAGCUCCAGUAAAAAAUCAAGAAAAAAAAUUAAAAAAAGGAAAAGAACAUUGCCCGGAGCAGGUUUCGAACCAGUGACCCCUGGAGUCCUGCAAGAGUCCUGAAGUAAAAACGCUUUAGCCUACUGAGCUAUUCCGCCGAGUACACAUUCGUGGCAUAUUUUAUACCUUAUAUAAGCAAUCUUCGUAAUUUCACAAAAUUUAACGACAAAAACAGAACUCUCCAAAUUAUUCAAUCGUUUCGCGUUGCAACGCUUUAUGGCUAUAUUAGAGCAUGGUUAAUGUUCAGUAUUACUGUUUCCUCACAAAUAUCAUAACUAAAACAAAAACUUACGAAUCUGAAACAACUUUUUUCAAUUUUGUCAAUUUACCAAAGCGUGAAAAGAUCCCUUUAAUAUCUAUUGUGUUUCUGUCCGUUUCUUAAUUCUCAUGUUCUCUAUUGCACUAAGUGUUGAUUUGAAAGUGGUGUUGUUAUUUUAGACUACCGUAAUUGCUCUAUGUUUUCGGACACUUAAAAAUAAUUAUUUUUGUUCGUGUCCGAAAACUUAGAUACGAAAAAUAUUCACAAAAUACAGUUGUCUGAAAACUUAGAGUCGAAAAUUGAAGUGUUUGAAAAUAGCAUCAAUUGUAUCAACGACUACCGGUAAUAGCACGCGCUUAUGUUUAAUAAUUUUAAAUGCUUAAUUCAUUUGACAGAAAGUUACUACAAGGUUGUACUUUGACCAACGAGUUCAAUGAUGAGCAUUUGAUGUAUCGAUCAUUUCAUUUCCGAAAGCUUUUGUUUAAUACCUUCUAUUGUUCGUAAAACUUGCAAUAGGGUGCAUCACACUUUGAAGCGUUUGGUAUUUGUCACAGUUAUUUUAUUGAUAACGGGUAGUUCCAUUGCGGUAGAUAAUUGAACUGUUAAUUGGCACUACCCCUGAUAAUUGUCAUAAGGCUUAUGCUAUCAGGCGAAACCAUUGUUCAAUACAGGUUUGCAAGGUUAUUUACCCAAUAACGCAAAUGUAAUGGUGCGUUGCACUCAGGCAUGCACCUGCCAUAUUUUAUGAUUUAAAUCUUGUUGUAAAACCCUAUGAUCGAAGUGUCAUUAGAUAUCGAAAACAGGACCGAAAUUUUGUAAAAUAGCGCUGUAAAAUAUACUGUCCGAAAACUUAGGGACAUUAAUUAUGGACGAAACGCGUGUGUCCGAAAAUUAAGAGUCACGAAAAAUAAUUAUUUUUGCCAAAAAAGGGGGUGUCAGAAAACUUAGAGUGUCCGAAAACAUAGAGUAAUUACGGUACCUACCCUUUUAUAAAGAAUUUUAUUAAUGGUUGUUUGUUUUUCUGCUUGAAAUAUGUGUUAGUUUUUUAUGUUUACAAUUUUGGUAGAUUACACAUAUGUAUCAUUCCAUUAAAUAUCUGAGAAAAUAAUUAUUAAAUCCGUGUUUAAAUUUACACAACUUUAUUGUUUGUGAUUUGUUUUAUUAUUGGUUGUAUUGCUAAAAUAAACCAAACUAGUCAAUGUCCUAUCAAUAAUUAUUAUGCAGUAUUUGUUGUUAUUUUGUGUUGUUCAAAUUCAAUUAUGCAGAUUUAAAAAAAAAUUGUAUUAUGAAAAUAAAUAACUGUAUUUUCAUGAAGUAAUUAAAUUUAAUUGUAAAAAAAAAUUACCACAACAUAAAAAAACUCUUACUUAGUCAUCUCAAUUUUUUUUUAAAUAUUUAAGCCAUGUUUUUCUUUUUAAAAGAGUGAUCAAAUCUUUUUUUGAUAGGGGCUUUCAAAUGUCAAAGUUUCGAAGUUCUGGCUAAUGAGGUUACCUGGUCACGGUUUUAAUCUUUUUAUUUGUUAGAUUUGUUAUCAUUUUUAAUUUAAGACCUUCACGUCGAGUUAGUGUAUACCAGUAUAUGUUUAUUCAUUUUGUUAGAAAAUUUAUUAGACAAUGUGAUUUAUUAGACAAUAAA